CAGCCGCCGCGGUAAUACGUAGGUGGCAAGCGUUGUCCGGAAUUAUUGGGCGUAAAGGGCUCGCAGGCGGUUUCUUAAGUCUGAUGUGAAAGCCCCCGGCUCAACCGGGGAGGGUCAUUGGAAACUGGGAAACUCGAGUGCAGAAGAGGAGAGUGGAAUUCCACGUGUAGCGGUGAAAUGCGUAGAGAUGUGGAGGAACACCAGUGGCGAAGGCGACUCUCUGGUCUGUAACUGACGCUGAGGAGCGAAAGCGUGGGGAGCGAACAGGAUUAGAUACCCCAGUAGUCCCUGUCUCUUAUAC
rnacentral:rRNA from 1 species